GACUGAUAGCUCAGUUGGUUGGAGCGUGGUGCUGAUAAUGCCAAGGUUGCAGGUUCGAUCUCCAUAUGGGACA